GAUGAACGCUGGCGGCGUGCCUAAUACAUGCAAGUCGAGCGAACAGACGAGGAGCUUGCUCCUCUGACGUUAGCGGCGGACGGGUGAGUAACACGUGGAUAACCUACCUAUAAGACUGGGAUAACUUCGGGAAACCGGAGCUAAUACCGGAUAAUAUAUUGAACCGCAUGGUUCAAUAGUGAAAGACGGUUUUGCUGUCACUUAUAGAUGGAUCCGCGCCGCAUUAGCUAGUUGGUAAGGUAACGGCUUACCAAGGCGACGAUGCGUAGCCGACCUGAGAGGGUGAGCAGCCAAACGGGAACUGAGACACGGUCCAGACUCCUACGGGAGGCAGCAGUGGGGAAGUUGAGACAAUGGGCGGAAGCCUGAACGAGCCACGGAGCGUGAGUGAAGAAGGUAUUCGGAUUGUAAAACCGUGUUGGUGGGGAAGAAAAAAAGUAGGAGGAAACCCUGCCGUCCUGACGGUACCCAAUCAGUAAGCCCAGGCUAACUUCGUG
rnacentral:rRNA from 1 species